UAAAGGCAGGUAAAUGCUUCAUCUAUCACACUUGGCGAUUUUUAUUAAUUUUUUUUUAUUUGUUUUUAUUUUAGGUUUUUUUUUAGUCUGCUCGCCCGUUGCACAUGAAGUGCAUAGGGUCGCAUUUCCGACUUCAACGUCAGACAGUAGGCGUAUUGGCCCAGAUGAACGAGAUCGCUGUAGCCAACCGUAGCCAACGGCAACAAACCUUUAUCACCUACAUUAUACCAGUGGCCUAAAGCACCAGAUCUAGAAACAUAAAGGUGAUGGAAUUCGUCUUUACGGUCAAUUGAGUUCGACCGUAUCACGAAGUGAAACAUCUAGUCAGUAGUAAUCAGAGUAAUGUGAUUGUGAGCCGCCGGGAGCCUGUUACUACUCAACACGAGGUCGCUGGACACUCGCAAUCAAGAGAAACUACGCAAUCUUCAUUUAAAUUAAAUUUAGAGAACUUUACACCUGCAGACCAGCCGGCCGGCCAGUUUGCAUGUCCUUCACGCUUGAAGGUCGCGGUGAACAUUACGUGUAAAACUGUCAAUGCGGUGGUGAAGAGGUUGGGUGAGAAAGG